ensembl:lncRNA
CCCCUCUGCCUUGGGUCCCCGUAUAGGAGGGACUGGGGAGGCAUCCUGAAGUCUCCAGGCUCAAGUUCUCCUCUGGAAGAAGGAAAAGGCUUGGAUGAGUGCCCCAGAGCUUGGGCGUCUCCUCCCUUUACUUCAUGCAGGUGCCUGGACCUUGAAUCCGGGAGGAAAGGCAUUGAGGCUGACAGUGGAUUUCUAGUUCUUUUUUUCCCCAAGAACUUGACAUUUCCCCUCCCUCUGGUGCCCACAACUACGGAAGCAGCCUUGGCUGGCACAUGGCAUCUCUUCGGGACUCAAGAGUCACUACAGCUUCCAGGAUGGUGGACCAGCGUCUUCAUUCCUAUAGCAAGGGCCUUAACUAAUGAUCCUAUGUAAGAAGUGAAACUUUCAGUGAACCAGAAACCAUGAUAAAUCCUAAAAUAUGGGAUGAAGACUGCAUUGAUGCAAAAACACAGAGCCAAAUCUAAAAUGCUUAUAGAAGCCUAAUACCCAGAAGGGGAAGGAGCACCAAGACUCCAUCCCCACAGGUGGCAGACCCCGAAAGCAGAAGGGUAUCAUGGACAAUUGACACAUCGGUCCUCGGGGCACUGCUGCAAGAGGGGCCAGCAACUCAUCCUCUACUGAUGCUCUUCCAUCUGCUCUUGAGCCAAACAGCAGUGACAAAGUGUCAGCCUCAGGUAGGAGUCGUGGCCAGGGAGAACAGUUUAGACAGAUAUGGCCCUGUGCCAUAAGGAGGGAAAUUGGGCAACAGACCUGAACACCCCAGAGAAAUCUCACCCUGUGGAUUUUCCUUCUUCCUGGUUCCUGAGAAAAGGCCAGAGGACAAUUUAGACCAGCAGUCUUCCCACGAAUAUGACACACUGACAGAGGAUGUAAUUCAUGCAAUCCAGCAGGGAAUCUCAACCUUAGACAUUACAGAGAUAAGAUCGCCACGCAUACGAGCAAGACCAACACCACCAAAGAUGACAGAUGCAACGUGAAGGAUGAACCGACACUCAAGCAAGAUACACAACAGAGCAAGCAAAGCAGAAAUUAAGGAUAAGCAUAUGUAGAUUUUCCUGAUAGAUGUGUGAGGAUAGAGGAGUCACAAAUCAACUGGAGGUCAUGAAGGUGAAAACUUGGCCUGUUUAAUAAAAUACUGAAUAGGUAGAUAUUUUUUUCUGAA